rnacentral:rRNA from 1 species
UACGAAGGGGGCUAGCGUUGCUCGGAAUCACUUGGCGUAAAGGGUGCGUAGGCGGGUCUUUUAAGUCAGGGGUGAAAUCCUGGAGCUCAACUCCAGAACUGCCUUUGAUACUGAAGAUCUUGAGUUCGGGAGAGGUGAGUGGAACUGCGAGUGUAGAGGUGAAAUUCGUAGAUAUUCGCAAGAACACCAGUGGCGAAGGCGGCUCACUGGCCCGAUACUGACGCUGAGGCACGGAAAGCGUG